GCUGGGCAUGGUGGCGGGUGCCUGUAAUCCCAGCUACUCAGGAGGCUGAGGCAGGAGAAUUGCUUGAACCUGGGAGGCGGAGGUUGCAGUGAGCCGAGAUCGCGCCACUGCACUCCAGCCUAGGUGACAGAGCAAGACUCUGUCUCAA
rnacentral:sRNA from 1 species